CAACAGCCACGUCAUCGACGGAAGCGGCUGCCCACAGAGCGUUGCUGCGUGCCGUCCGCCCGCCCACCCACUCACCCCUCCUCUUCCUCCACGCCGUUGUCGUCGCUCAUACACGCCUGAGCUGACCACACGAUUACGACAGUCGGCAGCGGUAGCAGCAGCAGCAUCAGCAACAAGCGAAUACCACGGCCCGAGGCGAUGCGGCAGUUCUCUUAUCGGACGGCGCGGACAGCAACAGCCUCGCUGGCCGCCAACGCGACGCUGAUCCCGGUGCGUAACUGCUAUGACAGCAGCCGUGUGGGGCGCGGCGACGCCGCUGCCGCCGCGGCCUCAUCCUCCUCCCCCUCCGUGCCGUACAGGCGUUCCUCAGCGCCGCCGCGCCACGCACGCCCCGUCGGCGGCCGCGGCCCCGUCAAGGACCGCUUUCCGCCCGUGCCCACCGACCUCGCCGACCCGCGACGCCGCCUCGCCGUUCUCGUGGACGGCUCGAACCCCAACCUCAUCCCCGGUGGCUGCACCACAGUGGAUCAGGUGUACCGCACGAGUGCCCUCUUCACCACCGUGCUGCCGGCUGUGCUGCAGGUCGGCGUUCCAGUGCUGCUCCGCGUCUUUGCGCACCAACUGCCCGCUGUUUGGGAGCCACUCCUGGCUGGCAGCAGCAGCAGCAGCGCCGCGCAAGGCGGCAGCGCCUCUGCCAGCCAUCACACGCCGACCGACGGUGCCGGACAGCCGAUCUCACUCGUCCCGCUCCCUUUCCAACCGUCGUCGUCAGCAUCGUCGUCCACCGCGGACGCCGUCAUUGUGCCGCAGGUGCAGUUCGAGUACUUCCGGGUGGAGCGCUUCAUCCCGGUAGCGAUGCAGAUGGAGGCGGACGCGCGCCACCUCUACGAGUUCCGCCACACGAACAAGGUGGAGGGGGUCUGCUACGUCUGCCACGAAGUCGACCGUGCCAUGUACAUCUCACUCAUGGAAGAGCAGCGGACGGUGUCGGUCGAGCUGGAGGAGCUGCUGCGCGAGGUUCGCGGAAAGGGCCGGAGGACGGAAGCCAAAGAGGAGAAGGCGGCUGCGGCGGCCUUCUUCAACCAGUACGUGCUGGAUGAGCUGGGCAUGGCUGGGGAACUGCUGGCCGACUCACGAUCGAAGAACGGCGCGUGAUGACCUCUACGGGAUGAUGGAGUAUUCGAAAGCGGUCGUAUACGGCUACGUGUGUGUGUGUGUGUGUGUGUGUGUGUGUGUGUGGUGAUCACGUUAUGGUGUGUUGCAGUGUGUCUGUCUGCCGAGAUGUGCGUGACGUGUACAGUGAGGGGUGCGAAAUUGUGCCUGUGCCAGUGUGUGCGCUGGUCUCUCUCCACCUGACAAGUGAAAACUCAGUAGCAUAUAUAUCCCCCCUCUUCUAUGACGCAUACGACGCCCAUUCUGCUGGAGCGCCUGGUGGCUGCUGCAGUGGUCGCGGCGGUCUCGCCUGACGCGCGUGGAGGGCGGGCUGGAGAUGGGCGAUGCGGCGGUUCUCAUCUCCCUCACCUCCUCCCCCCCCCACCCUUCCCCGGCACACACACACACACACACACACGCACGCGCCGACGUACGGCUGCCUCUCAUGAGUGGGGGCGCAGGCGCAGAGGGGCGGCAACAACGGUGGGAGAGAUGCAAUGCUGGCUCAGCACCAAUGGUGCAUCGAAGUUGAGCUGCAUGUGGAUGGGUGGGUGUGGGGCUUGGGCUGCCACAUCCCCUCAUCAACAUCACCAACCAGCACCGCCGUCACCUUCAUGUGCGUGUGUGUGUCGCCUCUUCAUGCGCACCUUCGCCGGAUGCGCCGCCUCCACCCCUCCACUACCCCUCCCUUCAUGCCACGAUUCGCGUGCAUGCGCGCAUGUGCAG
rnacentral:misc_RNA from 1 species